rnacentral:rRNA from 1 species
AGAGUUUGAUCCUGGCUCAGGAUAAACGCUAGCGGCGUGCCUAAUGCAUGCAAGUCGAACGGUUUAUCGAAAGGUAAACAGUGGCAAACGGCUGAGUAACACGUAAGCAAUCUGUCCUUAAGUGGGGAAUAAUUAACCGAAAGGUUGACUAAUACCGCAUGUGGUAGUGGGGGUAGGUUUCCAUUACCAAAGCUUUCGGGCGCUUGAGGAGGGGCUUGCGUCCUAUCAGGUAGUUGGUGAGGUAACGGCCCACCAAGCCGAUGACGGGUAGCUGGUUUAAGAGGACGUCCAGCCAGACGGGGACUGAGACACGGCCCCGACUCCUACGGGAGGCAGCAGCAAGGAAUUUUGCGCAAUGGGCGAAAGCCUGACGCAGCAACGCCGCGUGAGGGAAGAAGGCCUUCGGGUUGUAAACCUCUUUUCCCAGGGAAGAAUAAUGACGGUACCUGGGGAAUAAGUCACGGCUAACUACGUGCCAGCAGCCGCGGUAAUACGUAGGUGGCAAGCGUUAUCCGGAUUCACUGGGCGUAAAGAGCGCGUAGGUGGUCCUUCAAGUCAGAUGUUAAAUCUCCUGGCUUAACUGGGAGCCGUCAUUUGAUACUGCUGGACUUGAGGAUGGUAGAAGGAGGUGGAAUUCCCGGUGUAGUGGUGAAAUGCGUAGAUAUCGGGAGGAACACCAGUGGCGAAAGCGGCCUCCUAGGCCAUUCCUGACACUGAGGCGCGAAAGCGUGGGGAGCGAACAGGAUCAGAUACCCUGGUAGUCCACGCCCUAAACUGUGAAAACUAGGUACAGGGAGUAUCGACCCUUCCUGCGCCGUAGCUAACGCGUUAAGUUUUCCGCCUGGGGACUACGGUCGCAAGACUAAAACUCAAAGGAAUUGACGG